rnacentral:rRNA from 1 species
UCCGUAGGCGGGCGACUAAGUCAGAGGUGAAAUCCCACAGCUUAACGGUGGAACUGCCUUUGAUACUGGUUGUCUUGAGUUAUAGUGAAGUAGAUAGAAUAUGUAGUGUAGCGGUGAAAUGCUUAGAUAUUACAUAGAAUACCGAUUGCGAAGGCAGUCUACUAACUAUAUACUGACGCUAAUGGACGAAAGCGUGGGGAGCGAACAGGAUUAGAUACCCUGGUAGUCC